AGAGUUUGAUCAUGGCUCAGAAUCAACGCUGGCGGCGUGCCUAACACAUGCAAGUCGAACGAGAAAGUGGAGCAAUCCAUGAGUAAAGUGGCGCACGGGUGAGUAACACGUGACUAACCUACCCAGGAGUGGGGGAUAACUGAGGGAAACCUUAGCUAAUACCGCAUAACACCUACGGGUCAAAGGAGCAAUUCGCUUCUGGAGGGGGUCGCGGCCGAUUAGUUAGUUGGCAGGGUAAUGGCCUACCAAGACGAUGAUCGGUAUCCGGCCUGAGAGGGCGCACGGACACACUGGAACUGAAACACGGUCCAGACUCCUACGGGAGGCAGCAGUGGGGAAUUUUGCGCAAUGGGGGAAACCCUGACGCAGCAACGCCGCGUGGAGGAUGAAGUCCUUCGGGACGUAAACUCCUUUCGAUCGGGACGAUUAUGACGGUACCGGAAGAAGAAGCCCCGGCUAACUUCGUGCCAGCAGCCGCGGUAAUACGAGGGGGGCGAGCGUUGUUCGGAAUUAUUGGGCGUAAAGGGUGCGUAGGCGGUUUGGUAAGUCUGAUGUGAAAUCUAUGGGCUCAACUCAUAGUCUGCAUCGGAAACUGCCGGGCUUGAGUGUGGGAGAGGUGAGUGGAAUUCCUGGUGUAGCGGUGAAAUGCGUAGAUAUCAGGAGGAACACCUGUGGCGAAAGCGGCUCACUGGACCAUAACUGACGCUGAUGCACGAAAGCUAGGGGAGCAAACAGGAUUAGAUACCCUAGUAGUCC
rnacentral:rRNA from 1 species